AUGCAUUGCCCCGUCCUCCAGUAUGCGGACGAUACGCUAAUCGUCCUACCCCCCGACGCCUCUCAGAUUCAGACUCUCAAAAAUAAUCUGCUACAAUUUUCUGAGGCCACUGGGCUGAAAAUCAAUUUCCAUAAAAGCACCUUUGCCCCGAUCCACGUCGACCCAAAUCUCUCGACUAGCCUUGCCGCAAUCCUGGGCUGCCCAGUUGCCACCUUCCCGCAGUCGUACUUGGGCUUGCCUCUAUCCACUCACAAGCUAAACCUAGCUGACUUCUUCUUCAUCAUUGACAAGGUCGAUCGCCGUCUUGCUGGUUGGAGGGGCCUUUUGCUCUCCUUUGCCGGGAGGGCUAUCCUGGUCCGCUCCGUUCUACGCGCCCUGCCAAUCUAUGCCAUGAGUGUCCUUCUUCUACCUGCUGGAACCAUUCAGGAAAUCGAGAAACGCUGUAGGGCCUUCUUUUGGUCUGGUCAGGAAUCUACCUCGGGCGGCUACUGCAAGGUCGCUUGGGACCUCGUUUGU
rnacentral:rRNA from 1 species